rnacentral:lncRNA from 1 species
CCAGCAUCUGCUAAAAUCCUGGUGCCCGCUUCGUCCCCGCUCAGCACGCAGGAGCUGCAGGGAUUUGAGGAGGAUGAGAUUAGUGUUUUCUGCUGCACGAUGUCAGCUGAGGGAUGAGAACGGCGCACCGAGAGGAGGAGAGCUUCUGUGGGUGAAGACCAUCCCUUUCAAACGCGAAGCACAGCAAGUCCAAACCAGCACGUUUCCCCUUCUCCUUGGGGAUCAGGCUGCAGUAGUGAAGAGACAAAUGGAGCCAGUCCCCGGUGCUAAACUACAAAACCACAGGCUUCAGCAAAGCCCUUCAAGCCAGUCCGUCCCCCAGCAGUGUCGCUGCCCCUCGCUUUUGACUGAGGUCUGGAAAUAUCAGCAGAGGCACUGGUCUGAACCUGACUGCAGACAGCCAGCUGCCAGCUCUGGGCCAUGA